UACGUAGGGUGCAAGCGUUGUUCGGAAUUAUUGGGCGUAAAGCGCGUGUAGGCGGCUUAGCAAGUCGGGCGUGAAAGCCCUCGGCUCAACCGAGGAAGUGCACCCGAAACUGCUGAGCUUGAGUGCCGGAGAGGAUGGCGGAAUUCCCCAAGUAGAGGUGAAAUUCGUAGAUAUGGGAAGGAACACCGGUGGCGAAGGCGGCCAUCUGGACGGUAACUGACGCUGAGACGCGAAAGCGUGGGUAGCAAACAGG
rnacentral:rRNA from 1 species